GACGAACGCUGGCGGCGUGCUUAACACAUGCAAGUCGAACGCUGAAGCCCUUUCGGGGGUGGAUGAGUGGCGAACGGGUGAGUAACACGUGGGUAAUCUGCCCUGUACUUCGGGAUAAGCCUUGGAAACGGGGUCUAAUACCGGAUAGGACCUGUCCUCGCAUGGGGGUGGGUGGAAAGUUCCGGCGGUAUGGGAUGAGCCCGCGGCCUAUCAGCUUGUUGGUGGGGUAGUGGCCUACCCAGGCGACGACGGGUAGCCGGCCUGAGAGGGUGAGCGGUCACACUGGGACUGAGACACGGCCCAGACUCCUACGGGAGGCAGCAGUGGGGAAUCUUGGGCAAUGGGCGAAAGCCUGACGCAGCAACGCCGCGUGGGGGAUGACGGCCUUCGGGUUGUAAACCUCUUUCGACAUCGACGAAGGGGCCCUGUUGUGGGGUUUUGACGGUAGGUGUAGAAGAAGCACCGGCUAACUACGUGCCAGCCGCCGCCGUAA
rnacentral:rRNA from 1 species